rnacentral:rRNA from 1 species
GGGUUGUGAGGUUAAGCGACUAAGCGUACACGGUGGAUGCCUAGGCAGUCAGAGGCGAUGAAGGGCGUGCUAAUCUGCGAAAAGCGUCGGUAAGCUGAUAUGAAGCGUUAUAACCGACGAUACCCGAAUGGGGAAACCCAGUGCAAUACGUUGCACUAUCGUUAGAUGAAUACAUAGUCUAACGAGGCGAACCGGGGGAACUGAAACAUCUAAGUACCCCGAGGAAAAGAAAUCAACCGAGAUUCCCCCAGUAGCGGCGAGCGAACGGGGAGGAGCCCAGAGUCUGAAUCAGUUUGUGUGUUAGUGGAAGCGUCUGGAAAGUCGCACGGUACAGGGUGAUAGUCCCGUACACCAAAAUGCACAGGCUGUGAACUCGAUGAGUAGGGCGGGACACGUGACAUCCUGUCUGAAUAUGGGGGGACCAUCCUCCAAGGCUAAAUACUCCUGACUGACCGAUAGUGAACCAGUACCGUGAGGGAAAGGCGAAAAGAACCCCGGCGAGGGGAGUGAAAUAGAACCUGAAACCGUGUACGUACAAGCAGUGGGAGCACCUUCGUGGUGUGACUGCGUACCUUUUGUAUAAUGGGUCAGCGACUUAUAUUUUGUAGCAAGGUUAACCGAAUAGGGGAGCCGUAGGGAAACCGAGUCUUAACUGGGCGUCUAGUUGCAAGGUAUAGACCCGAAACCCGGUGAUCUAGCCAUGGGCAGGUUGAAGGUUGGGUAACACUAACUGGAGGACCGAACCGACUAAUGUUGAAAAAUUAGCGGAUGACUUGUGGCUGGGGGUGAAAGGCCAAUCAAACCGGGAGAUAGCUGGUUCUCCCCGAAAGCUAUUUAGGUAGCGCCUCGUGAACUCAUCUUCGGGGGUAGAGCACUGUUUCGGCUAGGGGGCCAUCCCGGCUUACCAAACCGAUGCAAACUCCGAAUACCGAAGAAUGUUAUCACGGGAGACACACGGCGGGUGCUAACGUCCGUCGUGAAGAGGGAAACAACCCAGACCGCCAGCUAAGGUCCCAAAGUCAUGGUUAAGUGGGAAACGAUGUGGGAAGGCACAGACAGCCAGGAUGUUGGCUUAGAAGCAGCCAUCAUUUAAAGAAAGCGUAAUAGCUCACUGGUCGAGUCGGCCUGCGCGGAAGAUGUAACGGGGCUAAACCAUGCACCGAAGCUGCGGCAGCGACACUUAGGUGUUGUUGGGUAGGGGAGCGUUCUGUAAGCCGUUGAAGGUGACCUGUGAGGGUUGCUGGAGGUAUCAGAAGUGCGAAUGCUGACAUAAGUAACGAUAAUGCGGGUGAAAAACCCGCACGCCGGAAGACCAAGGGUUCCUGUCCAACGUUAAUCGGGGCAGGGUGAGUCGACCCCUAAGGCGAGGCUGAAAAGCGUAGUCGAUGGGAAACAGGUUAAUAUUCCUGUACUUGGUGUUACUGCGAAGGGGGGACGGAGAAGGCUAGGCUGGCCGGGCGACGGUUGUCCCGGUUUAAGCGUGUAGGGGGAGUGACCAGGUAAAUCCGGUUGCUUAUCAACCCUGAGGCGUGAUGACGAUGCACCACGGUGCAGAAGCAGUUGAUGCCAUGCUUCCAGGAAAAGCCUCUAAGCAUCAGGUAACAUUAAAUCGUACCCCAAACCGACACAGGUGGUCAGGUAGAGAAUACUCAGGCGCUUGAGAGAACUCGGGUGAAGGAACUAGGCAAAAUGGUGCCGUAACUUCGGGAGAAGGCACGCUGGCGUUAGGUGAAAGGACUAGCUCCUGGAGCUGAAGCCAGUCGCAGAUACCAGCUGGCUGCAACUGUUUAAUAAAAACACAGCACUGUGCAAACACGAAAGUGGACGUAUACGGUGUGACGCCUGCCCGGUGCUGGAAGGUUAAUUGAUGGGGUCAGCCGCAAGGCGAAGCUCUUGAUCGAAGCCCCAGUAAACGGCGGCCGUAACUAUAACGGUCCUAAGGUAGCGAAAUUCCUUGUCGGGUAAGUUCCGACCUGCACGAAUGGCGUAAUGAUGGCCAGGCUGUCUCCACCCGAGACUCAGUGAAAUUGAACUCGCUGUGAAGAUGCAGUGUACCCGCGGCAAGACGGAAAGACCCCGUGAACCUUUACUAUAGCUUGACACUGAACAUUGAGCCUUGAUGUGUAGGAUAGGUGGGAGGCCUUGAAGUGUGGACGCCAGUCUGCAUGGAGCCAACCUUGAAAUACCACCCUUUAAUGUUUGAUGUUCUAACUCGGCCCCAUGAUCUGGGGUGAGGACAGUGUCUGGUGGGUAGUUUGACUGGGGCGGUCUCCUCCCAAAGAGUAACGGAGGAGCACGAAGGUUAGCUAAUCACGGUCGGACAUCGUGAGGUUAGUGCAAAGGCAUAAGCUAGCUUGACUGCGAGAGUGACGGCUCGAGCAGGUACGAAAGUAGGUCUUAGUGAUCCGGUGGUUCUGAAUGGAAGGGCCAUCGCUCAACGGAUAAAAGGUACUCCGGGGAUAACAGGCUGAUACCGCCCAAGAGUUCAUAUCGACGGCGGUGUUUGGCACCUCGAUGUCGGCUCAUCACAUCCUGGGGCUGAAGUAGGUCCCAAGGGUAUGGCUGUUCGCCAUUUAAAGUGGUACGCGAGCUGGGUUUAGAACGUCGUGAGACAGUUCGGUCCCUAUCUGCCGUGGGCGUUGGAAGAUUGAGAGGGGCUGCUCCUAGUACGAGAGGACCGGAGUGGACGAAUCACUGGUGUUCGGGUUGUCAUGCCAAUGGCAUUGCCCGGUAGCUAAAUUCGGAAGAGAUAACCGCUGAAAGCAUCUAAGCGGGAAACUUGCCUCGAGAUGAGUCUUCCCUGGGGCUUAAAGCCCCCUGAAGGAACGUUAAAGACUAUGACGUUGAUAGGCUGGGUGUGUAAGUGCAGCGAUGUAUUGAGCUAACCAGUACUAAUGAUCCGU